AACCCAUGUUAAGGACAUUUUCGUAUGAGUUCCUAGAACCUAUACCAUGUCUCAAAUAGAGACUCUAAUUCUGUUUGAACAAAAGAUGAUAUUUUAUUCCUAAACUU